rnacentral:rRNA from 1 species
UGGCCAUGUUGGUUAACAGAUCCUCAUUUGCUGGACGGCUGGCGAUGAUCUUUAUCGAUUGUCGUCAGUUGCCAGAACGUUUACUUUGAGAAAAUUAGAGUGCUAAAAGCAGGCUCACGCCUAUAUAUAUUGCAUGGAAUAAUGAGAUAAGAUCUCGAUUUUAUUUCGUUGGUUUUAGAAAUUGAGAUAAUGAUUAAUAGGAUCAGAGGGGGGCGUACGUACUGUGGUGUGAGAGGUGAAAUUCUUGGAUCGCCACAGGACGAACAGCAGCGAAGGCGUUCGCCAAGAAUGUUUUCAUUAAUCAAGAACGAAAGUUUGAGGUUCGAAGACGAUUAGAUACCGUCCUAGUUCAAACCAUAAACGUUGCCAACUGUCUUUUAGAUGCGGUUAUUUAUAUGACUCAUCUGGCGGAUCUCGAGAAAUCUAAGUUUUUAGGUUCCGGGGGAAGUAUGGUUGCAAAGCUGAAACUUAAAAGAAUUGACGGAAGGACACACAAGAAGUGGAGCCUGUGGCCUAAUUUGACUCAACACGGGAAACCUUACUCGGCCAGGACACUUUUAGGAUUGACAGAUUGAGAGCUCUUUCUUGAUUAGGUGGGUGGUGGUGCAUGGUCGUUCGUAGUUCGUGGAGCGAUUUGUCUGAUUAAUUUCGAUAACGAACGAGACUCCGGCUUACUAAAUAGUCUAAAGUUCGAAGGGACUUUUCAAGACUUCUUAGCAGGAUAAGUGG